UACGUAGGGUGCAAGCGUUGUCCGGAAUUAUUGGGCGUAAAGAGCUCGUAGGCGGUCUGUCGCGUCUGCUGUGAAAACCUAGGGCUUAACUCUGGGCGUGCAGUGGGUACGGGCAGGCUAGAGUGCGGUAGGGGGAGACUGGAAUUCCUGGUGUAGCGGUGAAAUGCGCAGAUAUCAGGAGGAACACCGAUGGCGAAGGCAGGUCUCUGGGCCACUACUGACGCUGAGAAGCGAAAGCAUGGGGAGCAAACAGG
rnacentral:rRNA from 1 species